GCCUGGAUGAUCCUUAGUGGUAUAGGGUACAGGCUUCAAACCUGUAGCUGUCUGGUGACAGAGUGGUUCAGUUACACCUUUCAAGCA
rnacentral:tRNA from 1 species